rnacentral:rRNA from 1 species
CACGUAGGCGGACCUACAAGUCGGGGGUGAAAUCCCGGGGCUCAACCCCGGAACGGCCUCCGAAACUGUGGGUCUGGAGGAUGAGAGAGGCGAGUGGAAUUCCGAGUGUAGAGGUGAAAUCCGUAGAUAUUCGGAGGAACACCAGUGGCGAAGGCGGCUCGCUGGCUCAUUUCUGACGCUGAGGUGCGAAAGCGUGGGGAGGCAAAACA